GAGCAUAUAGCUCAGCGCUAGAGUGUGUGUUUAGCAUGCAUGAGGUCCUGGGUUCAAUCCCCAGUACCUCCA
rnacentral:tRNA from 1 species